rnacentral:rRNA from 1 species
UACGUAGGGGGCUAGCGUUGUCCGGAUUUAUUGGGCGUAAAGAGCGUGUAGGCGGCCAGGUAGGUCUGGUGUGAAAACUCGAGGCUUAACCUUGAGAUGUCAUCGGAAACCAUUUGGCUAGAGUCCGGAAGAGGAAAGUGGAAUUCCUGAUGUAGCGGUGAAAUGCGCAGAUAUCAGGAAGAACACCAAUGGCGAAAGCAGCUUUCUGGGACGGUACUGACGCUGAGACGCGAAAGCGUGGGGAGCGAACAGG